AAAGGCUUCCCCCUAGGGCUGGCAAGCAAGGCACGGAUCCUGCAGGGCCUUUUGGCCUUCUGAAGCAGCCAGGGGAUUUGUGACUGUUAUUCACAUUAACCUAAUGAGAAUUACUGACAUAAAUACCAGGUGCACCAAGACACAAGAAGGUACUGUGUUCUUCAUCCGUAGCGUCUUCAUUACCCUUACUACACAGGCUCCACCUCUCCACAGAGGCAGACCCUCUACCAUGCAGCUAUGGUCUGAGUGCUGCUUUAAGGUUUUAUUGGCAUUGACGGGGGAUGGAAUCAGCGGCUUUUCUGCUCUCUGGAUUCAGCUCCAGACUGUUUACUGUCUAGAUGGAAGAUGAAAGAAAAGCAAGAAGGAAGAAAGCAGUAAAGCAAGGACUGCAGGACAAAAAAGGGGGCUGAGAAAGGACAGGAUGUGUCUGGACUGAUAAAAACAAAGCAUAUAAUUAAGAGUUAAAAGCCAUCCCUUCUCUAACAACAAUCAGAAAUAGCAAAGUCAGUGCAACACGACCCUGCCUUGAACCCCCUCUCCAAAACCAGAGCAAACAGCCAGACUCACGCCCCAGAGCUGAGUGACUCCUUAAAGCUCACGAUAGCUUUUCCAGAAGGAAGAUGCUUUAUUUGCCCAGCUCUUCCCAUGCUAGCCUACACUCACUGCUUCAGCUGCACCUGCACAAACUAUAAAUAAAACCACCUGAAGCAAAAGACGGGGUUCCAGUGGAUAAUCUUGCAUAUUACACCGUGAUGGAUCACUGCCGAUAACACAUACUAAAAACGUCACUUUUCACACUGAAGCCAUAUAUCAGGUAACUUCUGCAGUGGACUGUCAGCCAAG
rnacentral:lncRNA from 1 species